rnacentral:snoRNA from 1 species
GCAAUGAUGACAAUUUAUGGUUUUGAUCACCAGUGAAAAAACACUUCCAAUCCUCUAAGAAGUUCUGAGCUC